AUCAUUUUCGAUCAAUCAAUUUGGGAUAUGUUUCUCUCUCAAUCAUCCAGCCGUCCCCCUCGCUUCCUUUUGCAUCCACCUUGCCGCCUCCCUCUUCGCCAUCUUUAGGCCAGAUCAUCGCUUCGGUCACCGUCAUCUGCUCGUCGACGCACGCAGCCGCUGCUAACUUCACGUGAAGGGCUCGUCGACACACACGACUGUCGCCGCCACUGGUCUGAGCGCGCGUCCCGCCGCCGCAGCACCUCCGCGCUUGUUUCCCAUCUCGCCGACCAUGGUCAGGAUCUUGGUUAUCACGACUUUUCCUGUUCGACGGCGGAAGUUCAACGAAGCCCCGAGACAUUGCUGAAGGCGGAUGGAUGGCUGAUGCUGCUGCAGGACAAUGUUGUUGAUCUGCACUGCUAUAUAUAUUUUUUUGUUUUCGUCAAAUUGAAUGAAAUUUUCAUAUAAAUUUGGGGAUAUUCAUGUGUCCAGUAAAUAUGAAUAUAUUUGUUCAUUUA